CCCUUAGAUGUCCUGGGCCGCACGCGCGCUACACUGAGUGUCUGAGAUACGAGUCUGCCUGGUCCGGCAAGGUCUAGGUAAUCGCUAAAAGACACAUCAUGCUUGGGAUAGAUUAUUGCAAAUAUUAAUCCUGAACGAGGAAUUCCUAGUAAGCGCAAGUCAACAGCUUGCGUUGAUUACGUCCCUGCCCUUUGUACACACCGCCCGUCGCUACUACUGAUUGGAUGUUUAAGCGAGGUUCUCGAACUGCUAGCGACUUAGCUUCGGUGAGGUCGCAGUGUGGGAAGUGAACCUAGCUUUGGUGUCUAGAGGAAGUAAAAGUCGUAACA
rnacentral:rRNA from 1 species